GGCCAACGGAACUUGGAAGCUGGGGAGCCGGGCACCUACUGGUCCAGUCCAGGAGAGGACGGAGGAGGGAUGGACUGGCUCUGCUGCAUCCCGCUCUCCCGAGGCCGAGGCCGAGGCCGCAGGCGUCGUCACGGCAGAGAUGGUCUCUGCCAGGCCUGCAGAACCUGGAUGAGAACGCGAGGCGGACGCCUAUGGGCCGUUGCCCGCAGGGACCCAGAGGUACCACCGGGAGAGACCCGCCAGGAACAGGGUGAGGAAGGCAGAAGGCCACCCGAGGAACGUCCACACAGACUGCUCCCCGGGGUCCUCUGCUGGGCUGGUCGGGAGCACAGGAGCGCCAGCUGUUGCCAUGAAGACACCGUCCACAUGAGCCUGACAACCCAGGAAGGCCUGGCCCCCUCCUGAGGCCCAGCCUGAAGCAGGAGACCUGGAAUCCGAGGCCAAGACGCCAGCCGAGCGGAAAGACCCUGGAGCAGCCCCCAGAGGAGGUCCAAGACCACAGGAGGACUCAGCACCUGGGCAGGGAGGAAAUGUAGCUCCUUCAGAGGGACACUCAUGUCCACAUGGGGACUCACCUCCCGGGGCGAAUGAACACUCUGCUCCUCUCCCAGUAGGCCCAGCUCCUCUUGAGGAGUCACCACCCGGGCAGGGUGGAACCAAGUCGCCUCCUGCAGGAGGACCAGGCCCCCAUGAAGACUCAACUCAUGGGCAGGAUCAACCUGCUGCUCCUCCUGAAGGCAGACCAGAGCCUCCUGGGGUCUCACCUCCCGGGCAGGGUGAAAAUCCGGCUCCACCUCCAGGAGGACGAGGCCCUCAGGAGGACUCCCCAGCCGGGCAGGUUGAAAAUCCUGGUGCUCCUCCUGGAGGACGAGGCCCUCAGGAGGACUCACGGGACGGGAAGGAUGAAAAUCCUGCUCCUCCUCCUGGAGGGCGAGGCUCUCAGGAGGACUUACUAGCUGAGCCGGAUGAACAACCUGCUCCUCCUCCAGGAGGACCAGGUUCUCAGGAGGACUCACGAGCCGGGAAGGAUGACAAUCCUGUUCCUCCUCCUGGAGGACGAGGUUCUCAGGAUGUCUCGCCAGCCGGGCAGAAUGAACAUCCUGCUCCUCCUACAGAAGGACGAUGCUCUCGGGAGAACUCUCCAGCCAGGCAGGAUGCAUAUCCGGCUCCUCCAACAGGAGGACGAAUCUCUCAUGCAGACACACCAGCCCAGCAGGAGGAAAAUCCUGCUUCUCCUGCGGUUGGACGAGGCUCUCAGGAGGACUCACCAGCCCGGAAGGAUGAAAAACCUCCUCCUGCUGGAGGACCAGGCUCUCAGGAGGACUCACUAGCUGGCCGGGAGGAAAAUGCUUCUCCUCCUCCUGGAGGACAAGGCUCUCAGGUGGACUCACCAGCCAGGCAGAAUGAAAAUCCUGCUCCUCCUCCUGGAGGCCAAGGCUCUCAGGUGGACUCACCAGCCAGGCAGAAUGAAAAUCCUGCUCCUCCUCCUGGAGGCCAAGGCUCUCAGAAGGACUCCUCAGCCGGGAAGGAUGAAAAUCUGGUUAAUCCUCCUGGAGGACGAGGCUCUCAGGAUGUCUCACCAGCCGGGCAGGAUGAACAUUCUGCUCCUCCUACAGGAGGACGAGGCUCUCAUGAGGACUCACCAGCCGGACCCAAUGAAAAUCCUGCUCCUCCUCCUGGAGGACAAGGAUCUCAGGUGGACCCACCCGCCAGGCAGGAUGAAAAUCCUGCUCCUCCUCCUGGAUUACGAGGCUCUCAUGACGAGCCAACAGCCGUGCAGGAUGAAAAACCUGCUCCUCCUCCUGGAGGACAAGGCUCUCAGGUGGAUUCACCAGCCAGGCAGGAUGUUAAUCCUGCUCCACCUCCUGGAGGACGAGGCUCUCAUGAGGACUCAGAAGCCAGGCAGGAUGAACAUCCUGCUCUUCCUCCUGGAAGACCAGACUCUCAGGAGGACUCACGAGCCGGGAAGGAUGAAAAUUCUGUUCCUCCUCCUGGAGGACGAGGCUCUCAUGAUGUCUCUACAGCCGGGCAGGUUGAACAUCUUGCUCCUCCUACAGGAGGGCGAGGCACUCAUGAAGACUCCCCAGCGGGGCAGAUUGAAUAUCCUGCUCCUCCUCCAAGAAGACGAGGCUCUCAUGAUGUCUUACCAGCCGGGCAGGAUGAACAUGCUGCUCCUCCUACAGGAGGACGAGGCUCUCAGGAGGACUUACUAGCAGAGCCGGAUGGAAAACCUGCUCCUCCUCCAGGAGGACCAGGUUCUCAGGAGGACUCACGAGCCGGGAAGGAUGAAAAUCCUGUUCCUCCUCCUGGAGGACGAGGUUCUCAUGAUGUCUCGCCAGCCGGGCAGAAUGAACAUCCUGCUCCUCCUACAGAAGGACGAUGCUCUCGGGAGAACUCUCCAGCCAGGCAGGAUGCAUAUCCGGCUCCUCCAACAGGAGGACGAAUCUCUCAUGCAGACACACCAGCCCAGCAGGGGGAAAAUCCUGCUUCUCCUGCGGUUGGACGAGGCUCUCAGGAGGACUCACCAGCCUGGAAGGAUGAAAAACCUCCUCCUCCUGGAGGACCAGGCUCUCAGGAGGACUCACUAGCUGGCCGGGAGGAAAAUGCUUCUCCUCCUCCUGGAGGACAAGGCUCUCAGGUGGACUCACCAGCCAGGCAGAAUGAAAAUCCUGCUCCUCCUCCUGGAGGCCAAGGCUCUCAGAAGGACUCCUCAGCCGGGAAGGAUGAAAAUCUGGUUAAUCCUCCUGGAGGACGAGGCUCUCAGGAUGUCUCACCAGCCGGGCAGGAUGAACAUUCUGCUCCUCCUACAGGAGGACGAGGCUCUCAUGAGGACUCACCAGCCGGACCCAAUGAAAAUCCUGCUCCUCCUCCUGGAGGACAAGGAUCUCAGGUGGACCCACCCGCCAGGCAGGAUGAAAAUCCUGCUCCUCCUCCUGGAUUACGAGGCUCUCAUGACGAGCCAACAGCCGUGCAGGAUGAAAAACCUGCUCCUCCUCCUGGAGGACAAGGCUCUCAGGUGGAUUCACC
rnacentral:lncRNA from 9 species